GAUGAACGCUGGCGGCGUGCCUAAUACAUGCAAGUCGAGCGAACAGACGAGGAGCUUGCUCCUUUGACGUUAGCGGCGGACGGGUGAGUAACACGUGGGUAACCUACCUAUAAGACUGGGAUAACUUCGGGAAACCGGAGCUAAUACCGGAUAAUAUUUCGAACCGCAUGGUUCGAUAGUGAAAGAUGGCUUUGCUAUCACUUAUAGAUGGACCUGCGCCGUAUUAGCUAGUUGGUAAGGUAACGGCUUACCAAGGCAACGAUACGUAGCCGACCUGAGAGGGUGAUCGGCCACACUGGAACUGAGACACGGUCCAGACUCCUACGGGAGGCAGCAGUAGGGAAUCUUCCGCAAUGGGCGAAAGCCUGACGGAGCAACGCCGCGUGAGUGAUGAAGGUCUUCGGAUCGUAAAACUCUGUUAUUAGGGAAGAACAAACGUGUAAGUAACUGUGCACGUCUUGACGGUACCUAAUCAGAAAGCCACGGCUAACUACGUGCCAGCAGCCGCGGUAAUACGUAGGUGGCAAGCGUUAUCCGGAAUUAUUGGGCGUAAAGCGCGCGUAGCGGUUUUUUAAGUCUGAUGUGAAAGCCCACGGCUCAACCGUGGAGGGUCAUUGGAAACUGGAAAACUUGAGUGCAGAAGAGGAAAGUGGAAUUCCAUGUGUAGCGGUGAAAUGCGCAGAGAUAUGGAGGAACACCAGUGGCGAAGGCGACUUUCUGGUCUGUAACUGACGCUGAUGUGCGAAAGCGUGGGGAUCAAACAGGAUUAGAUACCCUGGUAGUCCACGCCGUAAACGAUGAGUGCUAAGUGUUAGGGGGUUUCCGCCCCUUAGUGCUGCAGCUAACGCAUUAAGCACUCCGCCUGGGGAGUACGACCGCAAGGUUGAAAUUCAAAGGAAUUGACGGGGACCCGCACAAGCGGUGGAGCAUGUGGUUUAAUUCGAAGCAACGCGAAGAACCUUACCAAAUCUUGACAUCCUUUGACCCUUCUAGAGAUAGAAGUUUCCCCUUCGGGGGACAAAGUGACAGGUGGUGCAUGGUUGUCGUCAGCUCGUGUCGUGAGAUGUUGGGUUAAGUCCCGCAACGAGCGCAACCCUUAAGCUUAGUUGCCAUCAUUAAGUUGGGCACUCUAAGUUGACUGCCGGUGACAAACCGGAGGAAGGUGGGGAUGACGUCAAAUCAUCAUGCCCCUUAUGGUUUGGGCUACACACGUGCUACAAUGGACAAUACAAAGGGCAGCGAAACCGCGAGGUCAAGCAAAUCCCAUAAAGUUGUUCUCAGUUCGGAUUGUAGUCUGCAACUCGACUACAUGAAGCUGGAAUCGCUAGUAAUCGUAGAUCAGCAUGCUACGGUGAAUACGUUCCCGGGUCU
rnacentral:rRNA from 1 species